AGGCUAAUACCGUACACAACAUGAUACAGGUGUAGAGAGCGCUAGGCUAAUACCGUACACAACAUGAUACAGGUGUAGAGAGCGCUAGGCUAAUACCGUACACAACAUGAUACAGGUGUAGAGAGCGCUAGGCUAAUACCGUACACAACAUGAUACAGGUGUAGAGAGCGCUAGGCUAAUACCGUACACAACAUGAUACAGGUGUAGAGAGCUAGGCUAAUACCAUACACAACAUGAUACAGGUGUAGAGA